UCCUGGUUAGCUUAGUGGUAAAGCGCUCCACUGGAAAUGGGAGAGGCCCCUGGUUCGAUACCAGGACCAGGCG
rnacentral:tRNA from 1 species